rnacentral:tRNA from 3 species
GAAAAAGUAUGCAAGAACUGCUAACUCAUGCUCCCAUGAAUAAAAUUAUGGCUUUUUCA